rnacentral:rRNA from 1 species
GACGAACGCUGGCGGCGUGCUUAACACAUGCAAGUCGAACGGAAAGGCCCUGCUUGCAGGGUACUCGAGUGGCGAACGGGUGAGUAACGCGUGGGUGAUCUGCCCUGCACUUCGGGAUAAGCCUGGGAAACUGGGUCUAAUACCGGAUAGGAGCCAUUUUUAGUGUGAUGGUUGGAAAGUUUUUUCGGUGUAGGAUGAGCUCGCGGCCUAUCAGCUUGUUGGUGGGGUAAUGGCCUACCAAGGCGGCGACGGGUAGCCGGCCUGAGAGGGUGGACGGCCACAUUGGGACUGAGAAACGGCCCAGACUCCUACGGGAGGCAGAAGUGGGGAAUAUUGCACAAUGGGCGCAGGCGUGAUGCAGCGGCGCCGCGUGGGGGAUGACGGCCUUCGGGUUGUAAACUCCUUUCGCUAGGGACGAAGCUUUUUGUGACGGUACCUAGAGAAGAAGCACCGGCUAACUACGUG